CCCUUAGAUGUUCUGGGCCGCACGCGCGCUACACUGAUGCAUUCAACGAGCCUAUCCUUGGCCGACAGGUCCGGGUAAUCUUUGAACGUGAAUCGUGCUGGGGAUAGAUGAUUGCAAUUAUUCAUCUUCAACGAGGAAUUCCUAGUAAACGCAAGUCAUCAGCUUGCAUUGAUUACGUCCCUGCCCUUUGUACACACCGCCCGUCGCACCUACCGAUUGAAUGGUCCGGUGAAAUCUUCGGAUCUGAGAGAUGUUGGAUUAAUUUCAGACGCCUUUUGGAAAAGUCGCUUAAACCUUAUCAUUUAGAGGAAGGUGAAGUCGUAACA
rnacentral:rRNA from 1 species